UACGAAGGGGGGCUAGCGUUGCUCGGAAUCACUGGGCGUAAAGCGCACGUAGGCGGAUUGCUAAGUCAGGGGUGAAAUCUGGAGCUCAACUCCAGAACUGCCUUUGAUACUGGCGAUCUUGAGUCCGGGAGAGGUGAGUGGAACUGCGAGUGUAGAGGUGAAAUUCGAUAGAUAUUCGCAAGAACACCAGUGGCGAAGGCGGCUCACUGGCCCCGGUACUGACGCUGAGGUGCGAAAGCGUGGGGAGCAAACAGG
rnacentral:rRNA from 1 species